UAACAACAAAUUAUAAUUAAGGGAAUAUUAAAAUUUCCAGGAUGGAGACAGUCUCCACACGCCGAACUUACCCGAAGAUAUCCAGAACUACAUAUAUCUGAACAAAAGGUAGCUGAUUCGGAAAAAUAUUAUAAUUAAGGAAAACUGGUUAACUCGAGUGAACCUGAAAGGCCUACGAUGAGAUAUGGACAAUAGGAAAUUGAGAUUUUUUUUAAAUAUCAGACCGUUCAGUUCUCCGCCCGACCCAAGCAGAAUCGCAAGUAGCAUGACCCUCUAAUUCCUACAAAUUUUAAUAUAACUGUAUCCAAAUGUCACAUCCACAUGUGCCCUACAAAGACUAUUCAAGAUUAUCCGGGUGAUUACACAAAGGGACUUCAAGGACCAAAACGGGACAGAAGCAAAGCGGGACGCCCUCCACAAAUGAACUGGGAAUGUUCCGCCAAACGGAUUCGACAAUGAGCUGCGAAUUAACUCGUGAAUAAAAUAUUCACUUUCAGACAAUUUGCCGGAGUUUUAAUGUAUGCAAAGGAUUUUGGCCGCAUGAAUACCUGUACUAAAACGGCAACAGGUGAAGAAGUUUCCCCGAGAUAUAAUUUUAAAUUACCUUAAUUAAAACUUUGAAUUUU